UACGGAGGGGGCUAGCGUUGUCCGGAAUUACUGGGCGUAAAGGGCGCGUAGGCGGAUACUUAAAGUCGGGGGGUGAAAGCCCAGGGCUCAACCCUGGAAUAGCCUUCGAUACUGGGGUAUCUUGAGUUCGGGGAGAGGUGAGUGGAACUCCGAGUGGUAGAGGUGAAAUUCGUAGAUAUUCGGAAGAACACCAGUGGCGAAGGCGGCUAACUGGCCCAUUACUGACGGCUGAGGCUCGGAAAGCGUGGGGAAGCAAACAGGG
rnacentral:rRNA from 1 species